rnacentral:rRNA from 1 species
UACAGAGGUGGCUAGCGUUGUUCGGAAUUACUGGGCGUAAAGGGCGCGUAGGCGGCUUGGUCAGUCCCGUGUGAAAUCCCUCGGCUCAACUGAGGAACUGCACGGGAAACUGCCUGGCUUGAGUUCGGGGAGAGGGAAGCGGAAUUCCGGGUGUAGCGGUGAAAUGCGCAGAUAUCAGGAAGAACACCCGUGGCUAAGGCGGCUCUCUAGUACGGUACUGACGCUGAGACGCGAAAGCGUGGGGAGCGAACAGG